GACGAACGCUGGCGGCGUGCUUAACACAUGCAAGUCGAGCGACAGCAUCCUUUCGGGGGUGUAUGGAGCGGCGAACGGGUGAGUAACACGUGAGCAACCUGCCCUUGGCUUUGGGAUAACCCUCGGAAACGGGGGCUAAUACCGGAUAUGACAUCUGAUCGCAUGGUUGGGUGUGUAAAGUUUUUCGGCCAGGGAUGGGCUCGCGGCCUAUCAGCUUGUUGGUGGGGUGAUGGCCUACCAAGGCGACGACGGGUAGCCGGCCUGAGAGGGCGACCGGCCACACUGGGACUGAGACACGGCCCAGACUCCUACGGGAGGCAGCAGUGGGGAAUAUUGCACAAUGGGCGAAAGCCUGAUGCAGCGACGCCGCGUGAGGGAUGAAGGCCUUCGGGUUGUAAACCUCUUUCAGCAGGGACGAAGCGAAAGUGACGGUACCUGCAGAAGAAGCGCCGGCCAACUACGUGCCAGCCGCCG
rnacentral:rRNA from 1 species